ensembl:snoRNA SNORD18 Small nucleolar RNA SNORD18
CUUUGGUGAUGAGUUUUAACUUCGGUCCGUGUUUCUGAAACCUGAUUAUACUAGAAGUUCUGAAAGG